rnacentral:rRNA from 1 species
GACACGGUCCAAACUCCUACGGGAGGCAGCAGUGAGGAAUAUUGGUCAAUGGGCGAGAGCCUGAACCAGCCAAGUAGCGUGCAGGAUGACGGCCCUAUGGGUUGUAAACUGCUUUUAUAAGGGAAUAAAGUGAGUCUCGUGAGACUUUUUGCAUGUACCUUAUGAAUAAGGACCGGCUAAUUCCGUGCCAGCAGCCGCGGUAAUACGGAAGGUCCGGGCGUUAUCCGGAUUUAUUGGGUUUAAAGGGAGCGCAGGCGGACCUUUAAGUCAGCUGUGAAAUACGGCGGCUCAACCGUCGAACUGCAGUUGAUACUGGAGGUCUUGAGUGCACACAGGGAUGCUGGAAUUCAUGGUGUAGCGGUGAAAUGCUCAGAUAUCAUGAAGAACUCCGAUCGCGAAGGCAGGCAUCCGGGGUGCAACUGACGCUGAGGCUCGAAAGUGCGGGUAUCAAACAGGAUUAGAUACCCUGGUAGUCCGCACAGUAAACGAUGAAUACUCGCGGUUUGCGAUACAGUGUAAGCCGCCAAGCGAAAGCGUUAAGUAUUCCACCUGGGGAGUACGCCGGCAACGGUGAAACUCAAAGGAAUUGACGGGGGCCCGCACAAGCGGAGGAACAUGUGGUUUAAUUCGAUGAUACGCGAGGAACCUUACCCGGGCUUGAACUGCCAGCGACGGAUGCAGAGACGCAUCUUUCUUCGGACGCUGGCGGAGGUGCUGCAUGGUUGUCGUCAGCUCGUGCCGUGAGGUGUCGGCUUAAGUGCCAUAACGAGCGCAACCCUCAUCCUCGUUUGCCAUCAGGUGAUGCUGGGCACUCCGGGGACACUGCCAUCGUAAGAUGUGAGGAAGGUGGGGAUGACGUCAAAUCAGCACGGCCCUUACGUCCGGGGCUACACACGUGUUACAAUGGGCGGUACAGAGGGCAGCCACUGCGCGAGCAGGAGCCAAUCCUCAAAGCCGUUCUCAGUUCGGACUGGAGUCUGCAACCCGACUCCACGAAGCUGGAUUCGCUAGUAAUCGCGCAUCAGCCAUGGCGCGGUGAAUACGUUCCCGGGCCUUGUACACACCGCCCGUCAAGCCAUGAAAGCCGGGAGCACUUGAAGGCCGUGACCGCAAGGGUCGGUCUAGAGUGAUACUGGUAAUUGGGGCUAAGUCGUAACAAGGUAGCCGUACCGGAAGGUGCGGCUG